rnacentral:rRNA from 1 species
GACGAACGCUGGCGGCGUGCUUAACACAUGCAAGUCGAACGGAAAGGCCCUGCUUUUGUGGGGUGCUCGAGUGGCGAACGGGUGAGUAACACGUGAGUAACCUGCCCUUGACUUUGGGAUAACUUCAGGAAACUGGGGCUCAUACCGGAUAGGAGCUCCUGCUGCAUGGUGGGGGUUGGAAAGUUUCGGCGGUUGGGGAUGGACUCGCGGCUUAUCAGCUUGUUGGUGGGGUAGUGGCUUACCAAGGCUUUGACGGGUAGCCGGCCUGAGAGGGUGACCGGCCACAUUGGGACUGAGAUACGGCCCAGACUCCUACGGGAGGCAGCAGUGGGGAAUAGUGCACAAUGGGGGGAAGCCUGAUGCAGCAACGCCGCGUGCGGGAUGACGGCCUUCGGGUUGUAAACCGCUUUCGCCUGUGACGAAGCGUGAGUGACGGUAAUGGGUAAAGAAGCACCGGCUAACUACGUG